GCAGGAGACUGAGAAGGGUUUCUCCUCAGCAGAAAGCUUAGCCUGGGGCUUACUGGCCAGAGCUGCAUGCAGCCUGGGAAGCAGCCGGCUUUGUCCAGGCGCCACUGUCCCAGCAGAGGUGGGUGGGGGGCAGUGUGGAGCUGCACUGCAAGGCCGUGGGCAGCCCGGUGCCCGAGAUCCAGUGGUGGUUUGAAGGGCAGGGUCCCAACGACACCUGCUCCCAGCUCUGGGACGGCGCCCGGCUGGACCGUGUCCACAUCCACGCCACCUACCACCAGCACGCGGCCAGCACCAUCUCCAUCGACACGCUCGCGGAGGAGGACACAGGCACUUACGAGUGCCGGGCCAGCAACGACCCGGACCGCAACCACCUGACCCGGGCGCCCAGGGUCAAGUGGGUCCGCGCGCAGGCAGUCGUGCUAGUCCUGGAACCCGGCACAGUCUCCACUUCCAUAGAAAACACUGGCUCCAAGACACUCCUCACCUGCUUCUUGAAUGACAGCACCACAGAGGUCACCGGGCACCGCUGGCUGAAAGGGGGCGUGGUGCUGAAGGAGGACAU
rnacentral:sRNA from 1 species